rnacentral:rRNA from 1 species
CCUACGGGUGGCAGCAGUCGAGAAUCAUUCACAAUGGGCGCAACCCUGAUGGUGCGACGCCGCGUGGGGGAAUGCAGGUCUUUGGAUUGUACACCCCUGUCAUGUGGGAGCAAAUUAAAACGAUCGUACCACAAGAGGAAUAGACGGCUAACUCUCUGCCAGCAGCCGCGGUACUACAGAGGGCUCAAGCGUUGUUCGGCAUCACUUGGCGUAAAGCGUGCGUAGGCUGUUUCGUAAGUCGUGUGUGAAAGGCGCGAGCUUAACCCGCGGACGGCACAUGAUACUGCGAGACUAGAGUAAUGGAGGGGGAAGCGGAAUGCUCGGUGUAGCAGUGAAAUGCGUAGAUAUCGCGAGGAACACUCGUGGCGAAGGCGGGUUCCUGGACAUUAACUGACGCUGAGGCACGAAGGCCAGGGGAGCGAAAGGGAUUAGAUACCCCUGUAGUC